AAAUGCCCACCUUGGCCAUCUCUCAUCAGCCGACUGAGGAGCAGUUGCUAACAGCACCAUGAGGUCGACCAGCAUUUCCAUCUUCCUUGGCUUCUUCAUCCUGUGCCAAGUGGCGCCAUCCACUUGUGCCACAACGGAGGCACGUCCUUUUUUUGGCAUUAAACUUGGGGAUUGUCCUCACAAUGAUGCCAUCUGCCAUGGGAAACCUGUUGGGAACCGGUGCUUGAACGACACCCAGUGCCCAAGUUCACUGAAAUGCUGCCCAGGCCCCUGCGGCAAAACCUGCCUCCAGCCUGUGAAUGUGAAACCGGAUCACUGUCCACCGGAUACUGAACAAGAUAUUAAGAAUUUUAAUUACUGCAAUAAAGAUGCUGAUUGUAAAGGAAAACAGAAAUGCUGCUUUGCUUUUUGGGGUUCGGAAUGUCUCGAUACACAGAAAGGUAAGGUAUUUUGUAUCACUGUACAA